rnacentral:lncRNA from 1 species
UCCACUGGUAUCAAUGUAAGAAUCUAUAUACAACUCGUCUUAACAUCAACCAAACAAUGUUAGAUCUGUAAAUUUGCUUUCGCAAUUUUUUGGUUCUUCACUGUUUGGUUGAUGUUUAGACGAGUUGUAUAUACAUUAUGUACACAGCCAUGUAUCACCAUCAUUGAUGGCGAUCCGAUGGAUACAUCUGUUGUAGAUUUGUCAAUGACUCAGACGUACUUAUAUAUAUAUAAAUAUAUACAAAUGAAAAAAGGAUAAGUUAUUAUGAUAAGUUAUUUGAUUAUGACAAUAACUAUUAGAUUUUUAUAGCGUGCACUUAACCCAAAUUUGCGGUUUACAUGUCGUCGAACUACAUUAAAAUCGUGAUCAAAUGUGUUCUUCCAAUUUGGUAGUCAAGUCUAUGUUAUAAACUGUUCUCCGUUAAGCUUUAUACGUACUGUUCAAAAUUAUUCUGAAAUUUUUAUAAGAUUUCUAUAUCUGAUAAAUUUGACAAGUAUAAAGAAAUCAAUUCAAAAUCAAAAAGUCAAG